UGAAUUUAUCACUGUGAAGCAGAAUUCACCAAGCAUUGAACUGUUCACCCACUAACAGGGAACAUGAACUGGGCUUAGACCAUCGUGAGAUGAGUU
rnacentral:ncRNA from 1 species